CCUACGGGAGGCAGCAGUGAGGAAUAUUGCGCAAUGGAGGCAACUCUGACGCAGCCAUGCCGCGUGCAGGAAGAAGGCGCUACGCGUUGUAAACUGCUUUUAUCCGGGAAGAAACCCCUCUACGUGUGGAGGGUUGACGGUACCGGAGGAAUAAGCACCGGCUAACUUCGUGCCAGCAGCCGCGGUAAUACGAAGGGUGCAAGCGUUAUCCGGAUUCAUUGGGUUUAAAGGGUGCGUAGGUGGGGCGUUAAGUCAGUGGUGAAAUCCUGCAGCUCAACUGUAGACUUGCCAUUGAUACUGGCGCUCUUGAGUGCGCUUGAAGUAGGCGGAAUGUGCCGUGUAGCGGUGAAAUGCUUAGAUAUGGCACAGAACACCAAUUGCGAAGGCAGCUUACUAAGGCGAUACUGACACUGAGGCACGAAAGCGUGGGGAUCGAACAGGAUUAGAUACCCUGGUAGUCCACGCCGUAAACGAUGAUCNCUCGAGAUGGCGAUAUACGUCGNGUCGUCCGUAGCGAAGACGUUAAGUAAGUAGUCCUUACCGUUGGGGUAGGUUACGGUUAGUCGCGAGAGUUAGUUAACGUUAAAGGUUAAGUUAGGACGGCGUUGGAGACGUUGGCCGACGGACGACGACGGAGGGAGGUUAGG
rnacentral:rRNA from 1 species